rnacentral:rRNA from 1 species
AACGAACGCUGGCGGCAGGCUCAACACAUGCAAGUCGAACGAGAUCUUCGGAUCUAGUGGCAGACGGGUGAGGAACACGUGGGAACAUCCCUUUCAGUUCGGAAUAACGUUGGGAAACUAACGCUAAUACCGGAUACGUCCUUCGGGAGAAAGAUUUAUCGUUGAAAGAUUGGCCCGCGUCUGAUUAGCUAGUUGGUGAGGUAAUGGCUCACCAAGGCUACGAUCAGUAGCUGAUCUGAGAGGAUGAUCAGCCACAUUGGGACUGAGACACGGCCCAAACUCCUACGGGAGGCAGCAGUGGGGAAUAUUGGACAAUGGGCGCAAGCCUGAUCCAGCCAUGCCGCGUGAGUGAUGAAGGCCUUCGGGUUGUAAAGCUCUUUUAUCCGGGAAGAUAAUGACUGUGCCGGAAGAAUAAGCCCCGGCAAACUUCGUGCCAGCCGCCGCGGUAA